AUCCUCAUUGCAAUCUGCCCCCACUGGGUGGGUAGAAAAAGAGCCAAUAUCCCCCUUUUACAGAUAGGAAAACUGUAGUAGAGAGGGAUCCCAUGACUCAUCUAAGUUCAGUGAAGCCAGGUGUUCCUGUUUCGAGUGGAGUUAUUUGGCCCAUAUCAGGAAGAUGAUAAGGAAUUGUUUGUUCUGGUGCAGUGAUUGCUUUGCUCAACUCAGUUUCCACGUGUGCUAACUUAGGCUCCAAAAUGUUCCAAAAAAGAAAGGAAAAUGCUACUGCAGAGGAUUUUAUGUAGAAUUUUAUGCUGAAAUUUGGAGCUAGAAGUUGACUUAAAGCACAUGGAGACCACUUCUCACAUCAUGGACAGGAAUCUGUGCCCCAGAGGGGGCCGUGUCAGCCAAGUGACUUGCAAGGAAGGGGCAGUUCCAACCUGGGAGAGGGGCUCCCAACUCGUAGAAGACCGAUCCAGCAUCUUCUGAUGGAUUCAGAAAUUACUUCCAGUCCAGGGGCUCUUUCUUCCAGCAAAUCCAGGACUGACUUAUUGUGGAGAUGACUGCCAGGUGACAACACUGGGGCACCUUCAGACGGGGGGUCGGUGGUGACUCCAAACCUCACCAGGGAUCCCGGCUUGCCACGGCCUCCACGUCCAGUGACAACAGAAAAGAAGGACGCACACUGAAAGGAGUGGUCAGCGUUUUGCUGACUGCCCUUCCUUCUUCAAGCCCAUUAGAGAAGUCCGAUCGCAGGUCCAUAGAGAGGGCACCUCCACGGCUAAUGCCCCGCCACUCAGGGAGCAGGACAGGGAGGCAGUGGGGAGGCCGCCCCCUCUUCUUCCACCAUCAGAGCCCAAAGCCAUCGUCCAUCAUGCCUUCUUUUCCAGUCUGCAUCUGCACAUCAACCCCCAUCCCUGGUCCCCGACACACAAUACUGAAUAAAUAUGCCUGGCCCGGGUCCAUGUGGGAAUUCUGGAGAGUUACGAUUGUUAUUUCCAGGAAUGCACAGACACCAGCAAAAAUUCAUUUCCCAGACGCAUGGCUAUUUUGAGAACCAAAUCUCCUGCUCUGUAGCAAUCAAACUGGGGGCUUUUCAAGUCUUGCUUUACAAUAGAAACCUGUUCUGCCUUCAGCUGCCUUUUACCUACAAGAAUUCAAUAAGAGAGAGAGAAGCCAUUAGAGUUUCCUUCCCCAUCUCCGCUUUGGCGCGACAUAUAUUCCUGGCCAACUUUCUCGACUCUACAUCUUAGUAAAUUCUUCCUGACAAUAGUUAGUGACAAGCAUGUCAGAAGCAACAAACUCCGUCAUCUAUAGGGCUUAUCAAUAAUUUAGUCUCUUCCCCCUCGUGAGAGCCUGUGUGUUUUACAAUAAUGAAAUAUAUGAUUUUAAAAAUAAAUAAUAGGCUGUUGUCAGCCCGAUUGUAGCUGCAAGUUAUGAAUGUGAUUGAUUGAUUGAACAUUUGACUUCAUCCGCUCGAGCAGGAUCAAAGAGAGACUC